AUGGACGUGAACAUGACGCGCCCGGACAACGCCACCAUCCUGAUGCUGCGCGACCCGGCCAUCGCCGUGGUGCUGCCGGUGGUGUACUCGCUGGUGGCGCUGGUGAGCAUCCCGGGCAACCUGUUCUCGCUGUGGGUGCUGUGCCGGCACAUCGGGCCCAAGACGCCGUCGGUGGUCUUCAUGAUCAACCUGAGCGUCACGGACCUCGCGCUGGCCUGCGUGCUGCCCUUCCAGAUCCACUACCACUGCAACGGUAACCACUGGGUGUUCGGCGUGCUGCUCUGCAACGCCGUCACCGUGGCCUUCUACGCCAACAUGUACUCGUCCAUCCUCACCAUGACCUGCAUCAGCGUGGACCGCUUCCUGGGCGUCGUGUACCCGCUGGCGUCCGCCCGGUGGCGCCGCCGCCGCUACGCGCUGGCCGCCUGCGCCGCCACGUGGCUGCUGCUGCUGGCGGCGCUGUCCCCGCUGGCGCGCACCGACCUCACCUACGCCGUGGACGCGCUGGGCAUCGUCACCUGCUUCGACGUGCUCAAGUCCAACAUGCUGCCCAGCGUGGCCAUGUGGGCCGCCUUCCUGUUCACGCUGUUCGUGCUGCUCUUCCUGGUGCCCUUCGUGAUCACCGUGGCCUGCUACACCGCCACCAUCCUGACGCUGCUGCGCUCCGCAGACCCGCACGGGCGCGCGCAGCGCCGCCGCGCCGUCUCGCUGGCCGCCGUGGUGCUGCUGGCCUUCGUCGCCUGCUUCGCGCCCAGCAACUUCGUGCUGCUGGUGCACAUGGUCAGCCGCCUCUUCCUGGGCCGCAGCUACUACCACAUCUACAAGCUCACGCUCUGCCUCAGCUGCCUCAACAACUGCCUGGACCCCUUCGUCUACUACUUCGCGUCCAGCGAGUUCCAGCUGCGCCUCCGCGACUACCUGGGCUACGGCCCGCUGCCGGCCGCCGACAGCCCCGACAGCCGCCGCGAGAGCCUCUUCUCCGGGCGGACGCUGUCCGCGCGCUCCGUGGAUGAGCACGAGGCGCCCGAGAGGCCCAGCGUGAGACGGCAGGAGAGCGUCUUCUGA
rnacentral:lncRNA from 1 species